AGCUCAUUAAGCACCAGCCUGCGGCUGUUGAGAGCAGCGCUGGCUCCUCGCAAAGCCUCUGAUUUUCAGCACCCCAGUUGUGCCUAGAGGUUUCCCAGCUGCUCCUGGCUCAGGCUGGGAGCUCUUCCCCUUUAUUUCCCUCUGCUGAAGGAGGGAAACAAGAGGUGAAUUCCCCUCAUCUGAAGGAUCCUUGGAGAGGAAGAGGGUCAGAGGAAGGACUGCAUAGACCCGGGAAAAAGGCAGGGAAAUAUGGAGCAUCUGGAGCUUGCACAGGAUCCCAGGAAUAUGGGAAGGGCAGGAAAGCCCUGGGACAAGUUACAAACAGUGAAACUCAGCUGGAUUUGUGCAGAGGAAGAGGUGCCCUGAGAUGAAAUAUGGGGUUGAUCUGCAUGGGAAAAAAAUCCCUGUGAAGUCCAGGAGAAGGGGACUGACCCCACUGGGGAACGUGGAAAGCCAGGGAAGAACCCAGAAUCCUUGGAUUGGGCUGUUGCUUGGAUCAGUAACCUCAGACAGAGCUCCCAGACCAGGUUUCCAAAGAAGGAUUUGCUGUUAUCCACCAAAUAAGGUAAAGCAACAAUCAAUUCCCUCCAGAGCUAUAAUUAACGGUGUUCCCUGGGUUGUGCCAAAACCAGGGAGGAACAGACAACCAAGGAAAACAAGUCUUGAAAUGUCAUUUCCUUCAUCCACUUGUCAGAGCAGGCUCAGCUGGGAAUUCCUGAGACCUCUGUCCUUCAAAAUCCUGGGAGAUGAGGCUUCCACAGCCAGCCCAGGCAAUUCCCUGUGCCCAGAGAUCUCCAUCCCUGGAUUGUUUCCUCAAAUCUCCAUUCCAGCCUCCUCUCUGCAGCAUUGUCGUGUCUUGUCCUGCUUGCCCUGCUCAUGAAGCACCUGCUCCACCCUUCCUCUUCCUGGAAAUUCUUGUUGUGCUUCCCUCAACCUUCUCCUUGUUGGACAUCUCAGCCCGUGGUCUUUCUCGCUCUCUUCUGUGCUCUUGCCCAUCAGUAUUAGAAUUCUUUGAGAUAUUUUUUCAGCUGACCAAGGUCAUUUGAAGCUUGGUUUGCUGCAUCCGUGGAGUUAUUUUCUGGAUGCCUGGCUGUGGUUGUCCCUAGGAUUUGGAUAGGAAUUUGUACCCACUUCACAACGAAACUCAGGGCAGAAAGAAAAAAGUCCUGGAAGAGCCCUUGUUUUUCCAGGACUGCUAAUUCCAAUGAAUUUCAAUUAUAAACAAAAUCUGCAUCAAUCAUAGAAAAGAAAUUAAAGUCUGUGAUUGAACUCUACCCCUCCUUGGGUGGUGCAGCUGCUGGGUUGUCCUAGGAAUGUUUUCUUGGAAGGAAACUCUAAGUUGUUCUAAAGACGUUGCUUGGAAGGCCUGGAUCUGGCAGUGCUGCGUGGUCCUCAGUCCUGCCCUGGUGUUUUUGGCCACGUGAGGAACUUCAAAUUCCUUGGAGCCACCUCAGGGACAUUGAGUCCAUGUCCUGCCGUGUCUCUUUGCACAAGGAACCACCUGAUUUCCACGAGACUUUGAAUCUGCACCAUUUAUGGAACCCUGAGAAUGCCAUCAGGGAGAGGCAAAGCAAAGCUCAGCUCCGCGUUUGGGCCAGGACUGUGUGGGCUUAACGUGGGACAGGCCUGGGAUAACCCUGGCAGCCACGGGGAAGCCAAGCACGGCGCAUGCUCAGAGUGGCCAAUUUCAGAAGUCCGAAACUUCUGAACGAUGGCACAUCCAGCUGGUGGAAAAGCCGGGAAAAUCAACCCAAAAGAAAAAAAAAUGGAGAGGAAAAAGGACAAGAGAACAAGAGUGCAAAUGUGCCCUUGGGCCCAGGCCCUGGGGAGGGACAGGAGGGGCUUGACAGGGUGAGAGCAGAACACUCCCAGGACUCAGCAUCCUCCUGCUUUCUCUCUCGGGAGCUGCUUUAUCUUCAGGGAAGUGUUGUCUCUUUUGGGAAUGCCGUUUCCAAGAGUGUGAGCAGGAACUUGCUGUGCCUUCAGACAACCCCUCUGGUUAUCUCAAGACUCAAAUUCUUCCUCCAUUAACCAAAGAGGGGUGGGAGAGCUCCUCGUUCCACUUUCCUCGUCGUGAUUUCCAGGGAAGAACGCAGAGUCAGGAGCUCUGUGCUCUUGGAUCUCCUCCACGGCCUCGUGCAUAUCGUGGUGCAACUUCCCAGAGCAGGAAUUAACGAUGAGAAACUCGCUUGGUGGAGUCCCAGGAGGGCCAUUCCUGGCUGGGGAGCUGCUGGCACAUUUAUCCAUGGAUGCACACUCGGCCUCCAGCUGGGGAAAACAGAACGUGCUCUGGCACGGCCUUUGGAGAGGCUUUGGGAUCAGGGCUCGGGAUCAGGGCUUGGCACAGGCUCGUUCCCUGCGCUCCUGGAGCAAACUCCUCCAUGGACCUGUGUGGAGCACAGCGGUGCUCUGGUUUUUCACUCAGUACCAAGGGAAGGGCCAGGAUUGUUCCUUGAGACUGGGCCCAAAGAGAACCUGGAAGGAGAAGGGUUUUCCUCACCCGAGUCCAGAAUUUCUGCUGAUCUAAGGCAGUGAACGACUGGAAUUUACCCUUUUGUAAAUGUGGGCUAAAGCAAGGGAAACCACAAUUUUUGAUAUCCCUGGAUUUUCACCAAUGCUUCACCCAACAGCACGAAUGAUUCAUCCUAUGAAACAGAGAUUUAUGUUAUUUUUGUUUACCUUCACCUACCAAAGAGCUGAGCUUGUGAUGCUGGAGGUCUGUUCCUGCCCUGGACUUGCUAGGAGCUGUUUUGACUGAAUUUUUCAAAGCUGUUCAACGAGCCUUUCAUGUCAAAAGAACAAAUUAAGCAAGUUUUUAAACUAUUCUGCUACAUCAGCUCUCACUGUUCUGGGACAGCCAAAACUUUUCAGCUUGGUCUGGUUGGUGGAAGAACAAAUCUCCUGUGCCCUUGGUGGCCUGGGGACACAGAGCUGGAAUUAGAACAGUAGCUGGACUUGGUAAAAUUAUUGUUUUGUAUUUAUUGAUUUCUUAUGUUGCUUUGACAGCAAACCUUCUGGGGUGGCUGUCCAGGCCACAGAGUAAAGGACAAGAAAGGAGGAGGAAAAUAAAUAAAUAAAUAAAUAAACAUCAUAAAAUUCAUCAGAGUUUUAUUAUAACGCACUUUUGUGAUUUUGCCAGCUCUGUGCCUUCCAUUCCCUACUUCAGGCCAUGUCUGGGGCCAGUGAGGUGUCCUGGAAACCCAAAUUCCCCCAAAACACCAUGUGCUGAUGAGGUGUCCCAUCAGCACAGCCAAACACAGUUCUGUCUCCUUUCUUUGGGAUUUUGGGAUGUGGGAAAUUUUCCUCAGGUCCAAGCCCAUCAGCAGAGAUGGGGACAGUGGGAAAACCAGAAAACAGAGCCCC